GAUGAACGCUGGCGGCGUGCCUAAUACAUGCAAGUCGAGCGAACAGAUGAGAAGCUUGCUCCUCUGACGUUAGCGGCGGACGGGUGAGUAACACGUGGAUAACCUACCUAUAAGACUGGGAUAACUUCGGGAAACCGGAGCUAAUACCGGAUAAUAUUUUGAACCGCAUGGUUCAAUAGUGAAAGACGGUUUUGCUGUCACUUAUAGAUGGAUCCGCGCUGCAUUAGCUAGUUGGUAAGGUAACGGCUUACCAAGGCAACGAUGCGUAGCCGACCUGAGAGGGUGAUCGGCCACACUGGAACUGAGACACGGUCCAGACUCCUACGGGAGGCAGCAGUAGGGAAUCUUCCGCAAUGGGCGAAAGCCUGACGGAGCAACGCCGCGUGAGUGAUGAAGGUCUUCGGAUCGUAAAACUCUGUUAUUAGGGAAGAACAAAUGUGUAAGUAACUAUGCACGUCUUGACGGUACCUAAUCAGAAAGCCACGGCUAACUACGUG
rnacentral:rRNA from 1 species